UUUAAUUUUUCCUAUGAAUUAUUUUUUAAUUUGUCUGCUCAUUCUACAAUCAGAGGAUUAUAUUUAGGUGCAAUGCCAACCAACUGCUGGCUGCAGGAUAGACACUUGGCAGAGGAUAGCUCCUGCCCUUGGUGCUAUGGAGAGGAGGAUAUUACUGUGAUCUGUAAGCAGGCCAUUCCACUGAAGGGAAUUCUACCAUUAAUGUUGAUCUGAACAAGAAGAUGAAGCUGGAAUACGAUUCAAGUAAAGUUAAGUAGAAGAAAGUUGUUAAGUAUGAAGAGAAUUAUGGUGCAAUGCAGGAAACAUGUUAUCAUUGUUUAAUUUUCUUCUUUUUUAGCAUGCAGGAAACAGUGUGACAAGAAAGAGGAUAAUGAUGAUCAUGACUAGGGUUGCAAACGAACCUAGCGUUCGACAAGCUGCUCUGGGCUCUGCUCGAUAAGGGCUCAUUUAUGUUUGUUUAAUAAGAUAAAUAAACGAGUUUGAAUACUCUUGAUAAAUACUCGAUAGGUAAAUGAACGAGCUUGAACAACGUGUCAUUCAGUAAUUUAUGUUCACGAA